rnacentral:rRNA from 1 species
GACGAACGCUGGCGGCGUGCUUAACACAUGCAAGUCGAGCGGUAAGGCCCUUCGGGGUACGACGAGCGGCGAACGGGUGAGUAACACGUGGGUGACCUGCCUCUAGCUCUGGGAUAAGCCUGGGAAACUGGGUCUAAUACCGGAUAUGACUCCACGGCGCAUGUUGUGGGGUGGAAAGCCUUGUGUGGCUAGAGAUGGGCCCGCGGCCUAUCAGCUUGUUGGUGGGGUGAUGGCCACCAAGGCGACGACGGGUAGCCGGCCUGAGAGGGCGACCGGCCACACUGGGACUGAGAUACGGCCCAGACUCCUACGGGAGGCAGCAGUGGGGAAUCUUGCGCAAUGGGCGAAAGCCUGACGCAGCGACGCCGCGUGAGGGAUGACGGCCUGGU